rnacentral:tRNA from 1 species
GCAUUAAUGGGGUAGUGGUAACCUGGGUCGUUGCCAUUCGAGUUUCUCGUAAGCUCGACCCGCCGGGGGUUCGAUUCCCCCUUAAUGCA